UCUAGUUAGCAUUAUACCGUGAAACUGCGAAUGGCUCAUUAAAUCAGUUAUCGUUUAUUUGAUAAUACCUUACUACUUGGAUAACCGUGGUAAUUCUAGAGCUAAUACAUGCUGAAAAUCCCGACUUCGGAAGGGAUGUGUUUAUUAGAUAAAAAACCAAUGCCCUUCGGGGCUUUUUGGUGAUUCAUGAUAACUUUACGGAUCGCAUAGCCUUGCGCUGGCGACGGUUCAUUCAAAUUUCUGCCCUAUCAACUUUCGAUGGUAAGGUAUUGGCUUACCAUGGUUUCAACGGGUAACGGGGAAUUAGGGUUCGAUUCCGGAGAGGGAGCCUGAGAAACGGCUACCACAUCCAAGGAAGGCAGCAGGCGCGCAAAUUACCCAAUCCCGACACGGGGAGGUAGUGACAAUAAAUACUGAUACAGGGCUCUUUUGGGUCUUGUAAUUGGAAUGAGUACAAUUUAAACCUCUUAACGAGGAACAAUUGGAGGGCAAGUCUGGUGCCAGCAGCCGCGGUAAUUCCAGCUCCAAUAGCGUAUAUUAAAGUUGUUGCAGUUAAAAAGCUCGUAGUUGAAACUUGGGCCUGGCUGGCGGGUCCGCCUCACCGCGUGCACUCGUCCGGCCGGGCCUUCCUUCUGAAGAACCUCAUGCCCUUCACUGGGCGUGCUGGGGAAUCAGGACUUUUACUUUGAAAAAAUUAGAGUGU
rnacentral:rRNA from 1 species